GAUAUUCCCCAGGGGACUGAUAGUGGGUCUGGUCCUACUCAGUAUCUUCAUUAAUGACACAGAUGAAAAGAAAACUCAUAUAUUCAGUAAUGUCACUAAUGAUAUGAAUCUGGGAGGUUUCCAAGACAGCAGUCUCAUUCUCUCUCCCCCACAGACCAUACUUGUUGAAAAGACAUUAAAAAAUACAGGAACGAGACUUUGCCAGCUCACAAUUUAUGAGAUAGGUGGACCAUUAGCCCUGCCCUUUGAACCAGGAUGCUGGCCAUCUCCAUUUGCCAAGGCCUGAAUGGUUUGCUGGAUAAGGACUUCAACAUAACUGUAAAGGCCUAUGAUGUCAGAGGCAGAUGUUGGUGUUACGGCAGUAGAGGUUGAACCUUCCCAUCAAUAUUCUGUUACAUAUUGUUACCAUGUGACAGAUGGCAGCAGAGGGGCAUCUGACAUGGAAGUGUGGAUGAAGCAAAAAUUUGUCACAGAAUUCCUCCAUGUGGAAAAAAUGGCACUCAUUGACAUUUGUCAACACUUGCUGAAUGUUUACGGAGACCGAACAGUGCACGUGGGCACAGUGAGGAGUGGGUGGUGUGCUUCAGCAGUCGCAACGGUAGCGGUGGGUCACCUCUGCUGUUGCAGAUUUUUAUCUGGCAUGCAGGCUCUUUUCCAUGGCUGGUGAAAAUGCAGAGCUAACAGUUGUGACUAUAUUGAAAAGCAGUGUUUUUGUAGCUGAGAAUUUGUUCUUUGUAUCUGUUGUAGUUUCAGUGGAAGUAAGAGGCAUUGCUUUCCACGUGACCUAUGUAUAUGUGGCCCAAGACAAUUCCUCUUCACUCAAUGUGACCCAAGCAAGCCAAGAGAUUGGACAUCCAUAUCCUAACAGGUUCACACUUAGUACAUAGCUAGAAGUAGCCAUCCCUAAUUGGUAUAAUAAACUGAGCAACUGUGGAAGGCUUUUGAAAUUUAGUUCAUAUUUAUAAGAAAAGAGACAAACAAAAUUGAAUGAGCUUUUCCCCUUUGCAAAUGGCUUAUUUUUGUCCAUGCUUUUUGCUCCAGUGUUACUGCUUCAAAUUUGCAGUAUCAUGCAUUAUACAAUGCUCCUCAACAUAUUGGGUCAGCCUGUAAAUGGAGAGCAUUAAUUCUGUGUGUCAGCUAAUGGGAACUUCCUUCUUCAGAAACGGUCUCAUCAGAAGUAUCAUGAGACAUGGGGAGCAUUAGUUAUGGGACAGUAAUGAUGGUGUUGCUAUGUACUGACUGCUCUGUGGCAAUACAUGUAAAGGUAUCACUUCCCAGAGAGAGGCUUUGUUGUAUUCAGCUGCUUCUAUUAAAUUUAAAAAAUUCAGCAACCACAGCUGGCUCCAACCAGUAAAUAUCUGAAUGCAAGCAGAAUAUUUGAAAGUGCAAUUCAUACAGCCGACCAUACAAGAAUGUGUUUAUUUACAGUAUGCUUCCAUGCUAAAGGAAAAAUGUGUAUGUGUAUUUUCAGUGACAGUAAAGAUUAGGAGGACACAACAUAAAAUAUAUAUUUUUUGCAAGGGAAAUACUGAUACUUUCAACUAGACUGAACACAUCAGCUUUACUUUGACCUUUUCUUGUGAUCAGUGAUGUUUUCUGCUAAGCUAAGCAGGUAAAAAUAUGAAAGCUUGGCAUGAACCAAGAAAAUGACCUUAGAAAUCAAAUAAGCAAAUAUGCAGGGUUUUUUUUUGUUUUGUUUUGUUUUGUUUUAUUUUUUGUGUGCGUGAUAUAUCUUUAUCUUUAGUGUUUAAACAUCUUGCCUAAUAGCAGUAUAGCAGUCUAUUUGUAAAUCUUAAAUCAACAAUAUAAAUUGAAAAUUAAAAUUAAAAAAAAAAAUGGAAGAUGGAAAUUUAAGAUCUAUAGGAAAGAUUAAACAUUUGACAAAAACAUGAGAGGUAUUCUUUACCAGCAAAAUCUCAUCUUCUGUUUUUGCUUCCACUCAAGUCCUCUCAAACAAGACUGGCAUGCAUACCUGCUGCUGAAAUUUAUUGCUUGGGGUGUGUACCAUAGUUGAACAUAGAUUAAUUUGUCUUAACAGUUUGAGAGUUAACUAGAGUGUAAAAAAGAGCUGCCAAAGACAUGUAAUUAAUUGAGCAAGAAUUACUCCUGAUUCCUACAUUUCAUGUGAUAACAGAUGUGCAUUAUAUAUACACUCUGGAGAAAAAUACGACCUUUUGUUCUGUAAUGGAUUAUUGAAUAUAUUUUCAAUGAUAGUGAGGUAAUAAAUUAAAAAGUAU
ensembl:lncRNA